UACGGAGGGUGCUAGCGUUGUUCGGAAUUACUGGGCGUAAAGGGCGCGUAGGCGGCCGUUUGCGUCGGAUGUGAAAGCCCGGGGCUCAACCUCGGAACGGCAUUCGAUACGGGACGGCUGGAGACCGGGAGAGGAGAGUGGAAUAGCCAGUGUAGAGGUGAAAUUCGUAGAUAUUCGCAAGAACACCGGUGGCGAAGGCGGCCAACUGGACCAUUACUGACGCUGAGGCGCGAAAGCGUGGGGAGCAAACAGG
rnacentral:rRNA from 1 species